rnacentral:tRNA from 1 species
UAUAUAAUGUAGAAGUUUUCUAAACUUUUUUUCUUUUUUGAAUUAUAUUU